ACGAAGGGUGCAAGCGUUAAUCGGAAUUACUGGGCGUAAAGCGCGCGUAGGUGGUUUGGUAAGAUGGAUGUGAAAUCCCCGGGCUCAACCUGGGAACUGCAUCCAUAACUGCCUGACUAGAGUACGGUAGAGGGUGGUGGAAUUUCCUGUGUAGCGGUGAAAUGCGUAGAUAUAGGAAGGAACACCAGUGGCGAAGGCGACCACCUGGACUGAUACUGACACUGAGGUGCGAAAGCGUGGGGAGCAAACAG
rnacentral:rRNA from 1 species